rnacentral:miRNA from 1 species
AAUACAGAACACUCAUUAAAUUUGAAUUUCAGGUAAAUAGCAAAUAAUUAUUUUAGUAUGAGUAUGCUCCAUGCAAUAUUUGGGACAUACUUGUGCUAAAAAUUUAUUUGUUGUUUAUCUGAAAAUAAAUUUAACUGGGUGUCCU